rnacentral:lncRNA from 1 species
UUGAUAAUUGUGUUUCAUCCAGUAUCUUUUCAUGGAAAUAUUCUUCUGAGCAUUCUUGAAUUUUACUCUACAAAGCAGUAUCAUGUUGACAAUUUGGACGUUAUUGGUUCUUGGACAAAUUAAUUCUUGAACUUGUUAUAUUGAAUUCUUAUAUCAUUGUCUUCAUCCUCAUAUUUAUAUAUUUUUUUUAAAGUCAUCUGUGGCCUGUAAUGCAUAGAUGGACUUGGUAUGAUUAUGACCAGGGAUUAUUCGGUGUAAUCAUGACCGUAAUGUUACAAAUGAUGUCGUAAAAGUCCUCAUUGGCCUGUAGUGUAUUGAUGGACAGUUGUUACCAUGAUCAUGACCAUUAAUGAAUACACAAAUAUUCUUGGCCCGUAGUGCAUGGAUAAUUGUGGUCGUGAUACUAAAG